rnacentral:rRNA from 1 species
UGCGUAGGCGGGAGAUUAAGUCAGUGGUGAAAUCCUGCAGCUUAACUGUAGAACUGCCAUUGAUACUGGUUUCCUUGAGUAUAGUUGAAGUGGGCGGAAUGUGUAUUGUAGCGGUGAAAUGCUUAGAUAUUACACGGAACACCUAUUGCGAAGGCAGCUCACUAAACUAAUACUGACGCUGAGGCACGAAAGCGUGGGGAGCAAACAGGAUUAGAUACCCUGGUAGUCC